UUACUUGCCUGGCAGAGGUGACGGCAUGAUCAUAACGGGUGGUUCUCCCAGAGCCAGGCUCAGCCAAUGUGCUAUGACUGUGCUGACAUAUGUGAAUUCCCCAAAUACAGGAAUCUGAAGUGAAUAAUUUCUGAUGGUGGGGUACUGCAUUCAGGCUCUCCCGAU
ensembl:snRNA U1 U1 spliceosomal RNA